GACGAACGCUGGCGGCGUGCUUAACACAUGCAAGUCGAACGGAAAGGCCCUGCUUUUGUGGGGUGCUCGAGUGGCGAACGGGUGAGUAACACGUGAGUAACCUGCCCUUGACUUUGGGAUAACUUCAGGAAACUGGGGCUAAUACCGGAUAGGAGCUCCUGCUGCAUGGUGGGGGUAGGAAAGUUUCGGCGGUUGGGGAUGGACUCGCGGUUUAUCAGCUUGUUGGUGGGGUAGUGGCUUACCAAGGCUUUGACGGGUAGCCGGCCGGGGCGGGUGACCGGCCACAUUGGGACUGGGUUACGGCCCGGCCUCCUACGGGAGGCAGCAGUGGGGAAUAUUGCACAAGGGGCGGAAGCCUGAUGCAGCAACGCCGCGGGCGGGAGGACGGCCUUCGGGUUGUAACCCGCUUCCGCCUGUGACGAGGCGUGAGUGACGGUAAUGGGUAAAGAAGCACCGGCUAACUACGUG
rnacentral:rRNA from 1 species